AAGAGAAAUUCACAAAAUUUCAAAGAAUGAAGUGAUAAAAGGUUGUGAAUCCUCCGGUAAGGGCAAAGAAGUUGUACCCGAAGAUCAAUAGUCGGAAUACUCCAAAAAUUUGAACUCUCGAUAUUGCUCAGGAUAGUUUGUAGAUAGCUAAUAUCGUUGAAGGCUACAGUUGGCUUUACUUCCUAAAAAAAAUCGUAGGUUCAUAGCCUACGUUCACUUUUGUCAUUUGGGGGCCCACGUGUCAUUGUAAAUUAAAUUACAUACCUUGACUAUCUGUAUUACAGUAUGUAUGAAUUU